CCUACGGGAGGCAGCAGUAGGGAAUCUUCCGCAAUGGACGAAAGUCUGACGGAGCAACGCCGCGUGAACGAUGAAGGCCUUCGGGUCGUAAAGUUCUGUUGUCAGAGAAGAACAAGUAUCGGAGUAACUGCCGGUACCUUGACGGUACCUGACCAGAAAGCCACGGCUAACUACGUGCCAGCAGCCGCGGUAAUACGUAGGUGGCAAGCGUUGUCCGGAAUUAUUGGGCGUAAAGCGCGCGCAGGCGGUUCCUUAAGUCUGAUGUGAAAGCCCCCGGCUCAACCGGGGAGGGUCAUUGGAAACUGGGGAACUUGAGUGCAGAAGAGGAGAGCGGAAUUCCACGUGUAGCGGUGAAAUGCGUAGAGAUGUGGAGGAACACCAGUGGCGAAGGCGGCUCUCUGGUCUGUAACUGACGCUGAGGCGCGAAAGCGUGGGGAGCAAACAGGAUUAGAUACCCUGGUAGUCCACGCCGUAAACGAUGAGUGCUAAGUGUUGGGGGGUUUCCGCCCCUCAGUGCUGCAGCUAACGCAUUAAGCACUCCRCCUGGGGAGUACGGUCGCAAGACUGAAACUCAAAUGAAUUGACGGGG
rnacentral:rRNA from 1 species